GUAUAGCUCAGUAGUAGAGCAUUCGGCUGCAGAUCGAGAGGUCUCCGGAUCAAAUUCGGAUGUCCCA